GUCAGGAUGGCCGAGUGGUCUGAGGCGCCAGACUCAAGUUCUGGUCUUCGUGAGAGGGCGUGGGUUCAAAUCCCACUUCUGACA
rfam:Gossypium hirsutum cultivar TM-1 chromosome 9, whole genome shotgun sequence